rnacentral:rRNA from 1 species
GAUGAACGCUGGCGGCGUGCCUAAUACAUGCAAGUCGAGCGAACGGACGAGAAGCUCGCUUUUCUGAUGUUAGCGGCGGACGGGUGAGUAACACGUAGAUAACCUACCUAUAAGACUGGGAUAACUUCGGGAAACCGGAGCUAAUACAGGAUAAUAUUUUGAACCGCAAGGUUCAAAAGUGAAAGACGGUCUUGCUGACACUUAUAGAUGGAUCCGCGCUGCAUUAGCUAGUUGGUAAGGUAACGGCUUACCAAGGCAACGAUGCGUAGCCGACCUGAGAGGGUGAUCGGCCACACUGGAACUGAGACACGGUCCAGACUCCUACGGGAGGCAGCAGUAGGGAAUCUUCCGCAAUGGGCGAAAGCCUGACGGAGCAACGCCGCGUGAGUGAUGAAGGUCUUCGGAUCGUAAAACUCUGUUAUUAGGGAAGAACAUAUGUGUAAGUAACUGUGCACAUCUUGACGGUACCUAAUCAGAAAGCCACGGCUAACUACGUG